UCAACAGUCCUUUUCAGGACUACACACCCUCAAGAGAAAGAUUAC
rfam:Strongylocentrotus purpuratus Contig42843_fixed, whole genome shotgun sequence.